rnacentral:rRNA from 1 species
GAUGAACGCUGGCGGCAUGCCUAACACAUGCAAGUCGGACGGUAAGUGGUGUUUCUCGUGGCGGACGGGUGAGUAACGCGUAUGAACCUGCCCUUGGGAGGGGGACAACUACUUGAAACGGCUGCCAAUACCCCGUAGGUAGAGGAGGAUAAUGAGUGAUCUUCCCGUGGAGGGGCUCGGGUCUGGUUAGCUAGGUGGUGAGGCAAUAGCUUACCAAGGCGCUGGUCAGUAGCGGGUGCGACAGGAGGAGUGGCCACACUGGGACAGGGACACGGCGCGGAGUCGUGCGGGAGACAGCAGUGUGGAAUCUUCCGCAAUGGGCGGAAGCCGGACGGGGCAAUGCGGCGUGGAGGUAGAAGGCCCAGGGGUCGUGAGCUUCUGUUCCAGGAGUAGAAGCAAUGACGGUAUCUGAGGAAUAAGCACCGGCUAACUCUGUG